rnacentral:rRNA from 1 species
AUUGAACGCUGGCGGCAUGCUUUACACAUGCAAGUCGAACGGUAACAGGCCGCAAGGUGCUGACGAGUGGCGAACGGGUGAGUAAUGCAUCGGAACGUGCCCAGUCGUGGGGGAUAACGCAGCGAAAGCUGCGCUAAUACCGCAUACGAUCUAUGGAUGAAAGCGGGGGACCGUAAGGCCUCGCGCGAUUGGAGCGGCCGAUGUCAGAUUAGGGAGUUGGUGGGGUAAAGGCUCACCAAGCCAACGAUCUGUAGCUGGUCGGAGAGGACGACCAGCCACACUGGUACUGAGACACGGCCCAGACUCCUACGGGAGGCAGCAGUGGGGAAUUUUGGACAAUGGGCGCAAGCCUGAUCCAGCAAUGCCGCGUGCAGGAAGAAGGCCUUCGGGUUGUAAACUGCUUUUGUACGGAACGAAACGGUCCUGGUUAAUACCUAGGGCUAAUGACGGUACCGUAAGAAUAAGCACCGGCUAACUACGUGCCAGCCGCCGCGGUAA